GGGUGUAGUGGCGCACACCUGUAAUCCUAGUGGCUCAGGAUGCUGAGACAGGAGGAUUGCAAGUUUGAGAGCAGCUUCAGCAACUUGGUGAGACCCUGUCUCAA
rnacentral:sRNA from 1 species